UACGUAGGGGGCAAGCGUUGUCCGGAUUUAUUGGGCGUAAAGAGCGUGUAGGCGGCCAUGCAGGUCCGUUGUAAAACUGGAGGCUUAACCUCCAGACGCCGGUGGAAACCGUGUGGCUAGAGUCCGGAAGAGGAGAGUGGAAUUCCUGGUGUAGCGGUGAAAUGCGCAGAUAUCAGGAAGAACACCCGUGGCGAAGGCGGCUCUCUGGGACGUGACUGACGCUGAGGCGCGAAAGCGUGGGGAGCAAACAGG
rnacentral:rRNA from 1 species